UGAUGAACUGUAUAAUGGGUUUCUUCCUACUAGAGUUCGAUUCUGUUCUUAACUGAAUGGAGUAGCUAUCUUUCGGGGUGGUCAGUUGGUUGUUAUAUCUCCACUAAUAAGCAGAGAGGGGUUAAACCUUUGAAGUAAGUUAUGUGGGUCAAGGUAUAAUGAUUAAUUGGAGUUCUAGUUCAUUUACUUUGAGAAAAUUAGAGUGUUUAAAGCAGCCUCUUGGGGCACUGAAUACAUUAGCAUGGGAUAAUAAAAUAGGAUCUUCACAAUAUAUUUUAUUGGUUUAAAUUGGAUAUGAAGAUAAUGAUUAAUAGGGACAGUUGGGGUAGUUCAUAUUGGGUGGUUAGCGGUGAAAUGCUCGGAUCCAUUCAAGAUGAACUAAAGCGAAAGCAUUUACCAAGGAUGUUUCUAUUAAUCAAGAACGAAAGUUAAGGGAUCGAAGACGAUUAGAUACCGUCGUAGUCUUAACUAU
rnacentral:rRNA from 1 species